rnacentral:rRNA from 1 species
UAAGGAAUAUUGGUCAAUGGACGCAAGUCUGAACCAGCCAUGCCGCGUGAAGGAUGAAGGUCCUCUGGAUUGUAAACUUCUUUUAUCUGGGACGAAAACGGGAUUUUUAUCUCAAUUGACGGUACCAGAGGAAUAAGCACCGGCUAACUCCGUGCCAGCAGCCGCGGUAAUACGGAGGGUGCGAGCGUUAUCCGGAUUUACUGGGUUUAAAGGGUGCGUAGGUGGGCUUAUAAGUCAGUGGUGAAAUCUCCGAGCUUAACUUGGAAACUGCCGUUGAUACUAUAGGUCUUGAAUUAUCUGGAGGUAAGCGGAAUGUGUCAUGUAGCGGUGAAAUGCUUAGAUAUGACAUAGAACACCAGUUGCGAAGGCAGCUUACUACAUAUAAAUUGACGCUGAGGCACGAAAGCGUGGGGAGCGAACA